rnacentral:tRNA from 1 species
GCGUUUGUGGUUUAGUGGUAAAAUCCAUCGUUGCCAAUUGGCUGUAUAGCUUAAUACGCUAGCAUAGCUGUUGUAUCGAUGGGCCCCGGGUUCGAUUCCCGGCGAACGCA